rfam:Myotis lucifugus cont2.2776, whole genome shotgun sequence.
ACCCCCUGGUAAUGGGCGAGGAGACACAUGAUUGGUGGUGUUGCUCUUAUAUCAGUUAGGGACAAAGCAAAUGUACAGUCCUUAGUUCAUCCUAGCUUGAUGCCUGUGUCGGUGGCCAGAGCUGUGUCAUGCCUGAGGCACAUAA